rnacentral:rRNA from 1 species
UACGGAGGGGGCUAGCGUUGUUCGGAAUUACUGGGCGUAAAGCGCGCGUAGGCGGACCUGCAAGUCGGGGGUGAAAGCCCGAGGCUCAACCUCGGAACUGCCUUCGAUACUGCGGGUCUCGAGUCCGGGAGAGGUGAGUGGAAUUCCUAGUGUAGAGGUGAAAUUCGUAGAUAUUAGGAGGAACACCGGUGGCGAAGGCGGGUCUCUGGGCCGAUAUUGACGCUGAGGAGCGAAAGCGUGGGGAGCGAACAGG